CAGCUCCUGGCCACGGCUGAUUAGGCCAGAGGCGGUCACCUGAGCCAGGCUAUCUCCUCAUAGCCUGGCCCUGACCUCUGACUUGGGACCUGCCUAGAAAAGAUGAGCUAUGCCAAUUAGAUGCAAGGAAUUUGGAAUUGGGAUCUUGAGCAACCCAAUCAGGUAGCAGAGUGAGCCAAGCUGAAAGUUCCCAGGUAACCUCAGGACUCAUCUUUCUCAGAGGCCAAACUAUCCAGGCCCUGCUUACUUUCCCCUGCCUCUCCCUCAACUCCGGAUCCAGAAACCUCUGUGUGUGUGUGGAAGAGGGGAGGAAGAUGCUACACUUGCUCUCUGUCAUCCCACAUGCCCCCAAGCUACCAAACUGUUUAUCCACAUGAGUCAUUUCCGUUUCCCCUUGAGGCCUGGGUUUGGAAACUCAGAACCUAAGCACAGACUGCUGUCUCUCUCUUUAUGCUGAAUCAUCCCUUCCUUGAGACAACAGCUGAGCUGUCCUGCUGACUACUGAACGGAAGCGGCCAAGGUUGGGGAUGGAGAGGAGCCGUGGAAUAUGAAUUAACAUUCCCAUAUGUUAUCCUGUCACACGAGGUUACCCGUGGCCCAGGACCCCAAAUGCGGAAGCAUCAGGAAGGGAGAAAGCGCCUUUCUGCAGGGGAAGGUAAUAGGACACUUCGUUUGUGGUGGCCUUAUCAGCGUCCCCUGUCUGGAAAACAUCUCCUCAGCUUCCCACCUGCUCCGGCCAUGUGGUCCAACUUGGAGCCCAACUCUCACCUGAUCCCGCCCCACAGGUCACAGGGAUUGGUCCAGGGUUAGGCACGUGACCCAGUCAGACCAAUCAGAGCCCCUCUCUGGGCUUUUUAACUGGAGGAGGAGGGCGAUUCUUUCCUGGUUGAUCAUGAAAAUGUGAGGACAUGAGGCCAGUAAUCCUGCUUCAUAGAGACAAACAGCCUGCGACCAAGAAACAAAUACUAAGGGAGAGAGGAAGGGAGUGAAAACGGAGAGGGCGUGUAGGCAACCAGACCUACCACACGUGUCCAGACACGCCGCGGCUCUGAGCUCCACUGACUCGCACAGACUCGGGGGAUGAGGCCCGGCCAGAGACCUGCCCCUACCAUCAAGGGUUGCCAGCCUUCUGCAGGGCACCCACCAGGUCUGAUGUGCCCAGGGCUGGGGAAGACCCUCGCUCUGACCCUUUAAAUCCAGGGCUGCCGAGAAGCCUGUUCUGACGCCGAAGCAGCAACACUGACCAGCAGGACUUCCGCACAGGGCCUGGGCCUGCUCACCUGUGGGGAGGCGCUGGCCAAGGGCAUCCCUCGCCGCUCGCUCCUACCCCCGUGGGCCUCGAACGGCCCCUUCCCACUGAGUCAGAGGCCUAAAAUAAGAAGCGUGUUCCAAAAGAUGUGACUUUUGGGAAAACUUCAGCCAAAUCAAUUAAUGAUAAAACCCUUGAGCAAACACAGCUACUUUUAUCAUUUUAGAAUGUUGUGAUUGGAGCAGCAAACGAAAUUAAAUUAAAAACACAGAGACUUCUGGUCAGAACCCCAGCGCUCUUGUUGAUUUUUAAUCUCCUAUUAAACGAUAUAUCUUCUGA